rnacentral:rRNA from 1 species
CCACGGUAAAUACGAAUGGUUUAAUUCGAUGCAACGCGAAGAACCUUACCACUUCUUGACAUGGAGAUUAGAUCCUUCUUAACAGAAGGGCGCAGUUCGGCUGGAUCUCGCACAGGUGCUGCAUGGCUGUCGUCAGCUCGUGUCGUGAGAUGUUGGGUUAAGUCCCGCAACGAGCGYAACCCUCAUCCUUAGUUGCCAGCGGGUUAAGCCGGGCACUUUAAGGAGACUGCCAGUGGUAAACUGGAGGAAGGUGGGGAUGAUGUCAAGUCAGCACGGCCCUUAUGGGGUGGGCUACACACGUGCUACAAUGGUGACUACAAUAGGUUGCAAUGUCGCAAGGCUGAGCUAAUCCGUAAAAGUCAUCUCAGUUCGGAUUGUCCUCUGCAACUCGAGGGCAUGAAGUCGGAAUCGCUAGUAAUCGUGGAUCAGCAUGCCACGGUGAAUACGAAU